CUAGCUGUAAACGAUGGAUACUAGGCGUUGAGAGUAUCGACCCUCUCAGUGUCGUAGCUAACGCGUUAAGUAUCCCGCCUGGGGAGUACGCGCGCAAGCGUGAAACUCAAAGGAAUUGACGGGGGCCCGCACAAGCGGUGGAGUAUGUGGUUUAAUUCGAUGCAACGCGAAGAACCUUACCAGGGCUUGACAUGUCCGGAACCCUGCCCAAAGGCGAGGGUGCCUACGGGAACCGGAACACAGGUGGUGC
rnacentral:rRNA from 1 species